rnacentral:rRNA from 1 species
UACGUAGGAUGCAAGCGUUGUCCGGAAUUAUUGGGCGUAAAGAGCGAGCAGGCGGUUACUCAAGUCAGAUGUAAAAUAUCCCGGCUUAACCGGGAGGGGCCAUUUGAAACUGGGUAACUAGAGUGAAGCAGAGGAUAGCGGAAUUCCCGGUGUAGUGGUGAAAUGCGUAGAUAUCGGGAGGAACACCAGUGGCGAAGGCGGCUAUCUGGGCUUUAACUGACGCUGAGGCGCGAAGGCUAGGGGAGCAAACGGG